UUGAAGAGUUUGAUCAUGGCUCAGAUUGAACGCUAGCGACAGGCUUAACACAUGCAAGUCGUGCGAUAUCAGUAAUUUUUUCUUACUGAAUAGCGGCGAACGGGUGAGUAAAAUGUGAGAAUCUACCUAAAGAUGUGGAAUAGCUAUUGGAAACGAUAGGUAAUACCGCAUAAAUACUCUCAGGAGAAAAGUGGGGAUACUAAACUUUUUUAGCCUCACGUCUUUAGAUGAGCUCACACGAGAUUAGCUAGUAGGUAAGAUAAUGGCUUACCUAGGCUACGAUCUCUAGCUGGUCUGAGAGGACGGCCAGCCACACUGGGACUGAGACACGGCCCAGACUCCUACGGGAGGCAGCAGUGGGGAAUAUUGCACAAUGGGCGAAAGCCUGAUGCAGCUAUGUCGCGUGUAUGAAGAAGGCCUUUGGGUUGUAAAGUACUUUCAGUUACGAAGAAACCAAUAUAACUAAUAAUUAUAUUGUAUGACGUUAGUAACAGAAGAAGCACCGGCUAACUCCGUGCCAGCAGCCGCGGUAAUACGGAGGGUGCGAGCGUUAAUCGGAAUUACUGGGCGUAAAGGGCGAGUAGGCGGUAAAUUAAGUUAGAUGUGAAAUACCUAAUCUUAAAUUAGGAACUGCAUUUAAAACUAGUUUUCUAGAGUUUUGUAGGGGGGAGUAGAAUUCCAUGUGUAGCGGUGAAAUGCGUAGAGAUAUGGAAGAAUACCAGUGGCGAAGGCGACUCCCUGGACAAAAACUGACGCUGAUGCGCGAAAGCAUGGGUAGCAAACAGGAUUAGAUACCCUGGUAGUCCAUGCUGUAAACUAUGUCGAUUUGGAGGUUGUAAUGCAAGUAAAAUUAUGGCUUCCGUAGCUAACGCGUUAAAUCGACCGCCUGGGGAGUACGGUCGCAAGAUUAAAACUCAAAUGAAUUGACGGGGGCCCGCACAAGCGGUGGAGCAUGUGGUUUAAUUCGAUGCAACGCGAAAAACCUUACCUACUCUUGACAUCCAAAGUAGUAAACAGAGAUGUUUAUGUGCCUUAGGGAACUUUGAGACAGGUGCUGCAUGGCUGUCGUCAGCUCGUGUUGUGAAAUGUUGGGUUAAGUCCCGCAACGAGCGCAACCCUUAUCCUUUGUUGCCAUCGAUUAAGUCGGGAACUCAAAGGAGACUGCCGGUGAUAAAUCGGAGGAAGGAGAGGACGACGUCAAGUCAUCAUGGCCCUUACGAGUAGGGCUACACACGUGCUACAAUGGUAUAUACAGAGAGAAGCAAUCCUAUAAAGGGAAGCGGAACUCAGAAAGUAUAUCGCAGUCCAGAUUGGAGUCUGCAACUCGACUCCAUGAAGUCGGAAUCGCUAGUAAUCGCGAAUCAGCAUGUCGCGGUGAAUACGUUCUCGGGCCUUGUACACACCGCCCGUCACACCAUGGAAGUGAGUUGUAAAAGAAGCAAGUAGCUGAACCAAACGGACAGCACUUACCACUUUAUGAUUCAUAACUGGGGUGAAGUCGUAACAAGGUAACCGUAGGGGAACCUGUGGUUGGAUCACCUCCUUAUU
rnacentral:rRNA from 1 species